UUUUUUUUUAUUUUUGCUUUUUAGGGCAGCACCCACAGGAUCCAAUCAGAGCUGCAGCCACUGGCCUAUGCCACAGUAAUGCUAGAUCUGAGCUGUGUCAGUGACCUACACCACAGCAAUGCUGGAUUCUUAACCCACUGAGCAAGGACAGGGAUCAAACCCGCAUCCUCAGGGAUCCUAGUCAGGUUUGUUAAUCGCUGAACCAUAAUGGGAAUUCCUCUACCACCUAUUUUAAAUGCUUCUGGCAGAGCAGUGCUUCUCAAACGUGAGCAUACAUCAGAAUCACUGAAAGGCUUUAGACUCCCCCCCACCUCCCCAACUCCUCCCAAUUGCCAGACACCACCACCUGUAUUGAUUGAUUCAGUAGUUUUCAGCUGGGAUCUGGAAAUUUGGAUUGCUGGAAGUCUCCAAGCAAUGCUGCUGCUGGUCCAGAGAAAUCACUGCUGAAGCAGAGGCCGUUGGUAUCCUACCCAGAUUUCCUUUACCAGCUACUGUGAAUGGUGACUGACUGCAAUUGAUAGCAGUUCUCUUUUCUGGGGUGGUUUUGUUUUGGGUCUGUUUGUGUUCUGAAAGGAUUUUCCAGCCAAAGGAAAUCACCUUUCUGGGAAGCUGUAGGAAUACCACCCAUCUCACUCUGUCACUCCAUCCCACCACACACGCACACACACCCCCAUGGCAAUAACCACUUGAGAUGCCUACAAGAAGGCAGCUGCUUUGCUUUUUAUGUUUUAUUUGUGCAGCAAUUCAGGCUACACUCUGGUUGAGCUCACUCUCCUGCUUAGCUCAUCUUCCCUUGUGUCAUUCUGCAUCCCUCACUUCCCUGCCCCUGAGAGCAUGUCCUCAGUAAGUCACCUGAACCAAAAUUCUCAUUUCAGCCUCCAGACCUAUGUCAUUUCCCUUUUUGGUCAUAUGGCUGCUUGGCUUAAUACACUGAUGACCAGCUGGCUCCUUGGACACCACAAUUAGAAUAAAUAUCUUUAAUUACAAAGUGAGUACAAUGUCCCUUGUAGCCCUUGAUACAUAAAAUGUGGCUGGCCAUAAUUUCUCAAGUCUCUCAUCCACUCUCACCAAAACAUGUUUCUUAGAUUCCUUCAAAUCUGAACUCGAAGUCUUAUUUCCUCAAGAAGAGUCAUUUUUGUCUAACUUCUCUGUUUCAGGUCUUCAUAAUCCCUGAUACUCCAACAGCAGAGCACUCGUGCUUUUCAGUGAAUUUUAAUAUUUAAUUUAAUAUCUUUCCCCUGUUAGAUUGUGAGCUCCUGCAAAGAAAUCACUUCAACACCUGGUAUAGGAAGGCCAAAAUACUUCUUUGUUGAGUGAAUAAAUACCUAAUGAAAAUGGCUAUUGUUGAAAGAGUGGGAGAUUUCAAAGCUCUUGCCAUAAAGGUCAGACAACACCCUCUUGUGAGUGGCGAAGACAGUCAACGGGGAAAAAAUGUACGUGUACUCUCAACAUUCAGACUACGUAGAAGAGUUUGUUCAUUGGUCAAGUGGUCAACAGCGAGAGGAGAAGUAGGAUGUUUUGGAAUUCAGUAUCUAUCUACCCGGAAUGCUAAUUUGGAACCUUGUGUUGAUGAUUUGUGUUUCUAAGUCACAGCCGGAAAUGAAUACCACCACACUGACUUCAUACCACAGACUGUGUGCCUUGUACCUGAUGAAACUAGAAUGCAUUCACCUUUGAGUUUAUGAUAUAAGCAUGGGGAUGUCUUUUGGUGCAAGUUUCCCUUAUCUAAUGCUAUAAUGGGCAGUUUUUAAAUAAUUCCUUACUUGCCAGAUAAUCAAUGACUCGCUUAAAAGAAUGCAUAUUAUAAUUCUCUCUAUGCUCUUCUAGAACAGAAGCGUCAAAUCGUAACAUUACCACAAUAAAUCUUAACACAGGUCUCCUGUAAAAUCUAUUUUGGACUAGAGUAUGAGAAAGAUGGAAAGGCUAGGAACUCUAAUGAAUAAUUGCUGGAAAGCUAACUAAGUGAAGAAAAUGCAAACCAAAGACAUUAAAAAUCAAUUUAGAAACAAAUAGCAUUUUGUCAGAUGUAAGAAUUAUUCAUUAGGGGCUGGAAGUAUAUCCCAUCACCAAGACAACAUAGAAAAUGAGGCUUAACAAAAAUAAUUAACAAUUAGUCUAGUAAUUUACUUUUCUUUCUAUUGUAUGUUCAAAUAAUCUAACUUAAAUACAUACUCAUACACACAAAGACACAAAUACCAAGCAGACUUUCUCCCUGGGAAUAAAUCAAGUCACCCCCAGUAGUGCUAAAAUUCAAAGUGCCAUGCUGGAGAGCAUUAAGGAAUUUACUGAAAUGGAUGCGAACUGCCUCCUCUGAGUCAUCAGGUUUUAAAUAGAAAUGAGAUAGUAAAUUUCUGCCCGCAUCACACUGUGUGUCUUCUCUGAUUCACUACUCUCAUUCAUCUUGAUGCUCUCUAAUUUGUAAAGAUGCAGGCGACGUAUAAAUAUUCAUGGCAGCUCUGGAAAUAGACUGCACAGCGCUUGGUCUUCCGUUAGAAAUGGGCAGAACGUCAAAGAGGGCUGGAGAUAUGUCUCCAAAAUGAUGCACUUGGCUUGUCACCGGAUGAGAAAAAAAAAGAGUGGCAACAUUGUGUCAGAGAAGAAUUUCACAGCUGGAUCCAUGAGCAGGCUCCCUGACUGUGGCUUAGGCCAGCGGUUCUCAAAUCUGCUACACAGCUGGGUCACCUAGGAGAGGAUUUCAAAUAACUCAUAUCUAUGUCCUGAGCACAAAGAUCCUGAAGUAAUCCAUCUUGGAUAAAACCUGGGCAUUGCUAUUAAAAAAAGAAUUCUAAGGAUUCUCAUAUAUUCAACCUGGGUCAAGAAUUGGUUCAAACAAUGGCAAGACACAAGACAGACUAAGUCUUUAGUCUCUGAACAUCACAUUCAGGCCAAAAAUACAAAAAUGUGCAAUCAACAUAGUAUCUGUGUUUCCAAAAAAAAUAUAUCCAGGGUACAGUAGAGCCCCCAAAAGGGACUGAGUGACUAGGUUAUCCUAUUUUAUAAACAUGGAGUGGGGUUCUCCAAAGUCUUCUCAGAGACCCUAACAAAUGUUGGUUUUACAAGAGGAUGGAGAGGAGGGAGAAUGUUAAUGCAAAAGGAAAUUUCCAGCCAAGGGUUCAUCAUAUUCAAAAAGACAUAUGCACCUGAAAGAGGCUGGGCAGUUUGUAAAAUACAUGUGGAUCAGCCUGGCAGAACCAUGGGGUACUGCCCCCUCCCUCUCUUGGCAAUUUUGUAAAAUGUCCCAUAUAGCUGCCGAGCUGCGGUUUUAAGUGUGCCAUGAAAAGUAGAAAAUUAGAGUUAUUCUGAUGUGCAAGGGUGAUUAAUUUUCCAUCUGGCAUCAAAUGGCUAUAAAGAGCGAAGGCAGUCAGUUCAAAGGAUGUGUACUCAAGUUCACCACCAAGGUAUCAGAGGAGAAAGAAGGAAAUCAUGCUGAGCUUACAAGACCCCUUUCAAACAUCAGAACUGCACUGGUGAUUUAAAAUCUCUUGUCACUUCACUGUAGUACCUGCACCCAUGAAUUUCAGUGGGAGAAGGACAAAUGUCUGAAUCCCUACCAACAUAUGCUCAUUCCUUCAGAAACCAAAAUCUUAAUGGCAUACCCUAAUGGGUGUAGGAAAGCAUUAGACUGUUUGUCCAGGGGUGGGGAUCCAUUUGCCUAGGUCUUGGUUCCUGACUUCUCCUUACAUUUAUCAGUAGGCACUUGGGUGCCCAUGAAAUACAAGUGGACUCCACAAGGGCAGGUAUAAGCCACUUGCUGCAGGAAACCACCCACUGCAGGAAGCCCCUCCCUUGUAACUUUAGCAGAGCUAUAUUGUAACUAACUUCUAAAUCAGGCACCCCCAAGCUCUACUCAUCUCCAGCCUAAGCUCACCUUUCAGAUCUUUUCAUCACAUAAUACCUUGCCUCAUUUGUUGGUCUCUCCACAGAUCAAAGUAAAAGUGAAGAGUAAGUGAUGGAUGGAUGACCACAUCUCUUCCCUAGCUUCUCCAUCAGUAAUCUCCCAAACUGUGUGACUAAACCUUAUGAACAAGACAAGGUCUAGAGGAAGAUCAUGAGGAGACAAGCCUGCACACUGGUGGUGGUAGUGAUGGGGGGUGUCGAGGGCUCUGACCCCCAUCUCCAUGAUUAACUGGGAUCACUUCCCUGUUUUCCUUUAAAAGAUUUCAAGGCUGAGCAGCAUUCCCAGAGGUGGCUUGGGGGGGGACGUUGAGUCCACCACCUCCCCAGAUCGCUGGCACUCUGAUUAAAGGCAUGUUACUUUCUAUGGACAUUUGUGAGUAUGUAACUGAUUUUAUAAGUGGGAAGCAGCAGGACCCCAAUCAACAACACGGGAAGCUGCAAACCUGGGCCUUUGACCUCCACAGAAUCCAAGUAGACACAGCUCAGCCCUUUUGAACACUGACAACCACCACCCAGCUAAACAGCACUAGGACUGUCCUUUUAUUUUCCCUGGGUUUUAAAUGCAGUAUGAACUGUAUAAUGAUCUUUUAUAUGUCCAUUUCUAAGUUUAUUGAAAUAUAGUUAAUUUACAAGGUUGUGGUACCUUCUGCUGUACAGCCAAGUGACCCAGUCAUACAUAUGCACAUAUAUAUAUCUCAAUUAAAAACGGGGGGGCAAAGUGACUGCUAGCCACAUCGCCAUCUAGUGGCACAUCCCUCAGUUGCCACCUGGAAAACCACUCAGAACUUACGCCAAAGCUAACAGGAAGGAAAAUGUAUGGCAUGGAUAAAAAAAAUCCAGAACACUAUCAAAUUCACUAUUUUUAAAAAAUUGUUGGCCUGCUCUCCAGUGGUCUAUCAUCCUCUGAUUCAAUAAUGAUAUGGCAUUCUGAGUCAACAAUCAGAAAGUUUAUGGAGUUCCCGUUGUGGCUCAGUGCUAACCAACCCAAGUAGUAUCCGUGAGGAUGCAGGUUCAAUCCCUGGUCACCCUCAGUGAGCUGUGGUGGAGGUCACAGAUGUGACUUGGAUCUUGCAUUGCUGUGGCUGCGGUGUAGGCCGGCAGCUACAGUUCCAAUUCAAUCCCUAGCCUGGGAACUUCCAUAUGCCACACAUACAGCC
rnacentral:lncRNA from 1 species